AUUGAACGCUGGCGGCAGGCCUAACACAUGCAAGUCGAACGGUAACAGGAAGCAGCUUGCUGCUUUGCUGACGAGUGGCGGACGGGUGAGUAAUGUCUGGGAAACUGCCUGAUGGAGGGGGAUAACUACUGGAAACGGUAGCUAAUACCGCAUAAUGUCGCAAGACCAAAGAGGGGGACCUUCGGGCCUCUUGCCAUCGGAUGUGCCCAGAUGGGAUUAGCUAGUAGGUGGGGUAAGGGCUCACCUAGGCGACGAUCCCUAGCUGGUCUGAGAGGAUGACCAGCCACACUGGAACUGAGACACGGUCCAGACUCCUACGGGAGGCAGCAGUGGGGAAUAUUGCACAAUGGGCGCAAGCCUGAUGCAGCCAUGCCGCGUGUAUGAAGAAGGCCUUCGGGUUGUAAAGUACUUUCAGCGGGGAGGAAGGGAGUAAAGUUAAUACCUUUGCCCAUUGACGUUACCCGCAGAAGAAGCACCGGCUAACUCCGUG
rnacentral:rRNA from 1 species